rnacentral:rRNA from 1 species
GCAAAGAGGGCGGUUACCACGGUGUGGCCGAUGACUGGGGUGAAGUCGUAACAAGGUAGCCGUAGGGGAACCUGCGGCUGGAUCACCUCCUUAAC